CGGCAGGGGUGGACCCUCGGCGGCCAGCGGCUCGCUGGCAGCGGAUGGGCCGUCGGUAGCCAGCCUCAGCGCCAGCAGCAGCGCACGGCGCCUCUUCGAGGCACACAAGCAGAGCUUCCGCCCAGCGCCUAAGAGGCCUGCCAACACGGAAUCGGCCCCUCCAGCUCCCAAGCUCAGUCCUGCAAACGCGUUUGAAAAUGACGGCAGCUUUAUGGAAAUGUUUCGGCAGAUGCAAAAAGCCCACGCGGCCGCGGUACCGCCGACGCCGGCCGAUCGUCGC